CCUACGGGAGGCUGCAGUGGGGAAUAUUGGACAAUGGGGGGAACCCUGAUCCAGCCAUGCCGCGUGUGUGAAGAAGGCCCGCGGGUUGUAAAGCACUUUCAGUGAGGAAGAACGCCUGGUGGUUAAUACCCAUCAGGAAAGACAUCACUCACAGAAGAAGCACCGGCUAACUCCGUGCCAGCAGCCGCGGUAAUACGGAGGGUGCGAGCGUUAAUCGGAAUUACUGGGCGUAAAGCGCGCGUAGGUGGCUUGAUAAGCCGGGUGUGAAAGCCCCGGGCUCAACCUGGGAACGGCAUCCGGAACUGUCAAGCUAGAGUGCAGGAGAGGAAGGUAGAAUUCCCGGUGUAGCGGUGAAAUGCGUAGAGAUCGGGAGGAAUACCAGUGGCGAAGGCGGCCUUCUGGACUGACACUGACACUGAGGUGCGAAAGCGUGGGUAGCAAACAGGAUUAGAUACCCUGGUAGUC
rnacentral:rRNA from 1 species